UACGAAGGGUGCAAGCGUUAAUCGGAAUUACUGGGCGUAAAGGGUGCGUAGGCGGUUCGUUAAGUCUGUCGUGAAAUCCCCGGGCUCAACCUGGGAAUGGCGAUGGAUACUGGCGAGCUAGAGUGUGUCAGAGGAUGGUGGAAUUCCCGGUGUAGCGGUGAAAUGCGCAGAUAUCAGGAAGAACACCCGUGGCGAAAGCGGCUCUCUGGAACGGUACUGACGCUGAGACGCGAAAGCAUGGGGAGCGAACAGG
rnacentral:rRNA from 1 species